rnacentral:lncRNA from 1 species
UAAUUAAUGAUAUAUUAGUGAUUGUAGCACAAUUAUUGACUUGGAUUAAAAGGAAUCCAUAUUGGUGCUUUAAUUAAAUUUAACAUAAUUUUCAAAACAAACGUGUAGAAAUUCAAAUCAUAAACUAGUUAUUUUUGUUUGUGGUACAAUAAAUCAAAUUAGUUAUUCACUACAUAAAUAAUGGAUCAUAAACGAGUUAGUGGUAAUGACGAUACAGUUCCACCCUCUUUACUAAAGGCGUCGUGUCAAAAAGGAUGAGUAUAUAGAAUCAAU